rnacentral:tRNA from 1 species
CUUCAAGAAGCUAAAAAGCAUUAGACUCUUAAUCUAAAGAUUGGUAAACUACUACUUUACCCUUGAGGA